AUUGAACGCUGGCGGCAUGCCUUACACAUGCAAGUCGAACGGUAACAGGUCUUUCGGGAUGCUGACGAGUGGCGAACGGGUGAGUAAUACAUCGGAACGUGCCUAGUAGUGGGGGAUAACUACUCGAAAGAGUGGCUAAUACCGCAUGAGAUCUAUGGAUGAAAGCAGGGGACCUUCGGGCCUUGUGCUACUAGAGCGGCCGAUGGCAGAUUAGGUAGUUGGUGGGAUAAAAGCUUACCAAGCCUACGAUCUGUAGCUGGUCGGAGAGGACGAUCAGCCAAACUGGGACUGGGACCCGGCCGAGGCUCGUACGGGAGGCAGCAGUGGGGAAUGUUGGACAAUGGGCGCAAGCCGGAUCCAGCAAUGCCGCGUGCAGGAUGAAGGCCUUCGGGUUGUAAACUGCUUUUGUACGGAACGAAAAGUCUUGGGUUAAUACCCUGGGAUCAUGACGGUACCGUAAGAAUAAGCACCGGCUAACUACGUGCCAGCAGCCGCAGUAACAC
rnacentral:rRNA from 1 species